UCCUACGGGGGGCAGCAGUGAGGAAUAUUGGUCAAUGGGCUUACGCCUGAACCAGCCAAGUCGCGUGAGGGAAGACUGCCCUAUGGGUUGUAAACCUCUUUUGUCAGGGAGCAACGCAGGCUACGUGUAGCCGGACUGAGAGUACCUGAAGAAAAAGCAUCGGCUAACUCCGUGCCAGCAGCCGCGGUAAUACGGAGGAUGCGAGCGUUAUCCGGAUUUAUUGGGUUUAAAGGGUGCGUAGGCGGAAUGCCAAGUCAGCGGUAAAAUCGCGGGGCUCAACCUCGCUCCGCCGUUGAAACUGGCGU
rnacentral:rRNA from 1 species